rnacentral:pre_miRNA from 1 species
CUUAUACUCCCUCCGUCCGAAAAUACUUGUCGGAGGAAUGGAUGUAUCUAGACGUAAUUUAGUUUUAGAUACACCCAUUUUCAUCCAUUUCUCCGACAAGUAUUUUCGGACGGAGGGAGUAUUUA